UACGUAGGGUGCGAGCGUUAAUCGGAAUUACUGGGCGUAAAGCGUGCGCAGGCUGUUCUGUAAGUCAGAUGUGAAAUCCCCGAGCUCAACUUGGGAACUGCGUUUGAAACUACAGGACUAGAAUAUGUCAGAGGGGGGGUAGAAUUCCACGUGUAGCAGUGAAAUGCGUAGAGAUGUGGAGGAAUACCAAUGGCGAAGGCAGCCCCCCUGGGAUAAUAUUGACGCUCAUGCACGAAAGCGUGGGGAGCAAACAGG
rnacentral:rRNA from 1 species